CCAGGACUUCUUGAAGCGUCGGUUCCUGCUGCCUCGAGCUGUGGAGCUGGGCAAGGAGGAUGUGAGAUCCAAGCAGCUCAAAUCACUCUACCUGUUUGACAACGGCGGGCAGGAGCUCGUCUCCGAGAUCUUCUCUCUGCCUUCUGGAGAUCAUUCCUCUCGGCUGGAUGAAAUCUCUCCAGGCACUGAUCGAGCGCGGCCAUCCCUUCAGUUACUUUGGUGCCAACGUCUCGUGCUAUCUGCUGGACAUUAACAUCAUGUCAACUUGUGUCUCCACGUCA
rnacentral:lncRNA from 1 species